rnacentral:rRNA from 1 species
AUUGAACGCUGGCGGCAGGCCUAACACAUGCAAGUCGAGCGAGCGGAGGACGGGUGGGUAAUGUAUGGGGAUCUGCCCGAUAGAGGGGGAUGAGUGCGGGAAACGGUGGCUAAUACCGCAAACUAUCGGAUGGAGCCAUGGGGGAUUAGGUAGUUGGUGAGGUAAAGGCUCACCAAGCCGACGAUCCCUAGCUGGUCUGAGAGGAUGACCAGCCACACUGGGACUGAGACACGGCCCAGACUCCUACGGGAGGCAGCAGUAGGGAAUAUUGCGCAAUGGGCGCAAGCCUGACACAGCCAUGCCGCGUGAAUGAAGAAGGCCUUCGGGUUGUAAAGUUCUUUUGUUAGCGAGGCGUUAACUACCGAAGAAGCACCGGCUAACUCCGUGCCAGCAGCCGCGGUAAUUC